rnacentral:rRNA from 1 species
CAGUAGCCACGGGAAUACGUAGGGUGCAAGCGUUAAUCGGAAUUACUGGGCGUAAAGCGUGCGCAGGCGGUUUGUUAAGACAGAUGUGAAAUCCCCGGGCUCAACCUGGGAACUGCAUUUGUGACUGGCAAGCUAGAGUGUGGCAGAGGUAAGUGGAAUUCCCGGUGUAGCGGUGAAAUGCGUAGAUAUAUGGAGGAACACCAGUGGCGAAGGCGACUCUCUGGUCUGUAACUGACGCUGAGGCUCGAAAGCGUGGGGAGCAAACAGGAUUAGAUACCCCAGUAGUCCCUGUCUCUUAUAC